GUACUGAUUUGGCAGCACACAUAUUAAAAUUGGAAGGAUAUAGAGAAGAUUAGCAUGGCUCCUGUACAAGGAUGACAAAGAAAUUUGUGAAGAGUUCAAUAUUGUU